rnacentral:rRNA from 1 species
AUUGAACGCUGGCGGCAUGCCUUACACAUGCAAGUCGGACGGCAGCACGGGGGCAACCCUGGUGGCGAGUGGCGAACGGGUGAGUAAUGCAUCGGAACGUGUCCUCUUGUGGGGGAUAACCAGUCGAAAGAUUGGCUAAUACCGCAUGAGAUCGAAAGAUGAAAGCGGGGGACCGCAAGGCCUCGCGCGAGAGGAGCGGCCGAUGCCGGAUUAGCUAGUUGGUGGGGUAAUGGCCCACCAAGGCGACGAUCCGUAGCUGGUCUGAGAGGACGACCAGCCACACUGGGACUGAGACACGGCCCCAGACUCCUACGGGAGGCAGCAGUGGGGAAUUUUGGACAAUGGGCGCAAGCCUGAUCCAGCCAUGCCGCGUGUGUGAAGAAGGCCUCGGGUUGUAAAGCACUUUCGGACGGAACGAAAUCGCGCGCAUGAACAAUGCGCGUGGAUGACGGUACCGUAAGAAGAAGCACCGGCUAACUACGUGCCAGCAGCCGCGGUAAUACGUAGGGUGCAAGCGUUAAUCGGAAUUACUGGGCGUAAAGGGUGCGCAGGCGGCCUCGCAUGUCAGGCGUGAAAUCCCCGGGCUCAACCUGGGAAUGGCGCUUGAAACUACGGGGCUGGAGUGUGGCAGAGGGGGGUGGAAUUCCACGUGUAGCGGUGAAAUGCGUAGAGAUGUGGAGGAACACCGGAUGGCGAAGGCAGCCUCCUGGGCCAACACUGACGCUCAUGCACGAAAAGCGUAGGGGGAGGCAAAACAGGAUUAGAUACCCUGGUA